rnacentral:rRNA from 1 species
GACUCAUAUUGAAACCUAGUGAUUUAUGAGUUAGUGGCGGACGGGUGAGUAACGCGUGGAAAACCUGCCGUAUACCGGGGGAUAACACUUAGAAAUAGGUGCUAAUACCGCAUAAGCGCACAGCUUCGCAUGAAGCAGUGUGAAAAACUCCGGUGGUAUACGAUGGUUCCGCGUCUGAUUAGCUAGUUGGCGGGGUAACGGCCCACCAAGGCAGCGAUCAGUAGCCGGCCUGAGAGGGUGAACGGCCACAUUGGGACUGAGACACGGCCCAAACUCCUACGGGAGGCAGCAGUGGGGAAUAUUGCACAAUGGGGGAAACCCUGAUGCAGCGACGCCGCGUGAGUGAAGAAGUAUUUCGGUACGUAAAGCUCUAUCAGCAGGGAAGAAAAUGACGGUACCUGACUAAGAAGCCCCGGCUAGCUACGUGCCAGCAGCCGCGGUAAUACGUAGGGGGCAAGCGUUAUCCGGAUUUACUGGGUGUAAAGGGAGCGUAGACGGCAGCGCAAGUCUGGAGUGAAAUGCCGGGGCCCAACCCCGGAACUGCUUUGGAAACUGUGCAGCUUGAGUGCGGGAGAGGUAAGUGGAAUUCCUAGUGUAGCGGUGAAAUGCGUAGAUAUUAGGAGGAACACCAGUGGCGAAGGCGGCUUACUGGACCGUAACUGACGUUGAGGCUCGAAAGCG